AAGUCGUAACAAGGUUUCCGUAGGUGAACCUGCGGAAGGAUCAUUAACACGUUAUCACACGUUAAAUCAACCACGCGAACUUAUACAGUUUGGGUUAACAGAGGGACUGAUGACUUUUUUCUUCGGAAAAAAGUGAACUUCCUUCUUUCCCAUCAACUGUUGUGUUUUGUCAUUUUUUGACAAAUCUUAAUCACCCCUCUUUUUUAUAAUCUUUUUCUUUUGGGGGUGAUGCAAAUCAUCCCACAAAAAAAAGUUAUAAAAAUAUGAUUUUUCUAUUUUCUAUUCAAAAGAUGCUUCCUAAUGGGAGCUAAUCUUUUAAUAACUAACUCAAAACAACUCUUAGCAACGGAUAUCUUGGUUCCC
rnacentral:misc_RNA from 1 species